CCUACGGGUGGCAGCAGUGGGGAAUAUUGGGCAAUGGGCGAAAGCCUGACCCAGCAACGCCGCGUGAAGGAAGAAGGCUUUCGGGUUGGAAACUUCUUUUGACAGGGAAGAGCAGAAGACGGUACCUGUCGAAUAAGCCACGGCUAACUACGUCCCAGCAGCCGCGGUAAUACGUAGGUGGCAAGCGUUGUCCGGAUUUACUGGGUGUAAAGGGGGUGUAGCCGGGCUGAGAAGUCAGGUGUGAAAUCCGGGGGCUCAACCCCCGAACGGCAUUUGAAACUGUUGGUCUUGAGGAUAGGAGAGGCAGGCGGAAUGCGUGGUGUAGCGGGGAAAUGCUUAGAUAGUAGGCGGAACCCCAGUGGCGAAGGCGGCCUGCUGGACGACAACUGACGGUGAGGCGCGAAAGCGUGGGGAGCAAACAGGAUUAGAUACCCGGGUAGUC
rnacentral:rRNA from 1 species